AACGAACGCUGGCGGCAUGCCUAAUACAUGCAAGUCGAACGAAGUCUUCGGACUUAGUGGCGCACGGGUGCGUAACGCGUGGGAAUCUACCCUUGGGUUCGGAAUAACAGUUGGAAACGACUGCUAAUACCGGAUGAUGACGUAAGUCCAAAGAUUUAUCGCCCAAGGAUGAGCCCGCGUAGGAUUAGCUAGUUGGUGAGGUAAAGGCUCACCAAGGCUACGAUCCUUAGCUGGUCUGAGAGGAUGAUCAGCCACACUGGGACUGAGACACGGCCCAGACUCCUACGGGAGGCAGCAGUAGGGAAUAUUGGACAAUGGGCGAAAGCCUGAUCCAGCAAUGCCGCGUGAGCGAUGAAGGCCUUAGGGUUGUAAAGCUCUUUUACCCGGGAUGAUAAUGACAGUACCGGGAGAAUAAGCCCCGGCUAACUCCGUGCCAGCAGCCGCAGUAACAC
rnacentral:rRNA from 1 species